UUUAUCUUUCUUUGAAAAACUACAUAUUUCCUCAAUCUUGUAUUGAAAACUCUGAGAAGUAACGACAAGUCGUUUAGCUAUGAAUAUCUUUAAGUGCAAAGAUCAGGGUAACCAAAUACCAUUUUCAUGGGAAGCAACGACGAGUCCUUUGAGAAGUGGCUGACUCUAUGUCUGGAGCCGUGAAUGAGACUGCCCCAUAGGAGACUGGGACUCUUAGAGUGUCAGAAAGCAAGGAGGCCUUUGCGCAGGAUAUUUGCAGUUGUCAAAUGAAUGCAGGAACCUAAGGUGGGCAAUCUGACCUUUAACAUGAACAAUCACUGCAGUCAUAUAAAAGUGUAAAUAGACAUGCCAAUAGAAUCGACAGAAAACUCUGAGAAGACGAGAUUCAAUACCUAGCAAGAUAUAAAAUUACACGUAAAAAUCAAUAUCUUCAUAUAUUUAAGCUAUAAGCAGUUAAAGGGAAAAAUAGAGGAGCUGACCCCAUUUACAUUACCAACCAAAAAGAAAAUACCCUAGGAAUAAACUCAGACAAGAAAUAUGCAAAACCUGUAUGAGAAAAAUUUUAAAGCUUUCCUAAAAGACGCAAAACUGGGACUUGAAUAAAAGGAAAAAUAAAACUUCCUCUUCAAUAGACUAAUGCAAACUCAUAAAUUGAUACCAGUUUUUUAAAGUAUUUUUGGAAGUAGAUUCUAUAGUUUACAUGGAAAAAGUAAAUAAGCAAGAAUAUCCAAAAAACAGGAAAAAAAAAAAAAGCAUCAAUGAGACAGGCCCAGCCAGCCCUCCCAGAUACUGGAAUAUAUUAUACAGUUUCUGUAAUUAAAACAGUAUAAUAUUAGCACAUGAGUAGACAAUCAGAUCAGUGGAAAAAAUAGGAAAUAUAGAUAUAGACCCAAGUACAAUGUGGAAAUGUAUGUAUGUGAUAAAAGUAGUAUCUCAAAUCACUGGGGGGGAAAAAUAGACUCUUUCAAAUCAAACAUUCUCAGAACAGCUAAAUAGUCCUUUGAAAACAGAUAAAAUUGGAUAUAACAUCACUUAGGUGGAAUUCCAGCCAAAAAAACCCCGAAAAAUACUCAACGUGUAUCCUCUAAUGAGGAACCAAUCAGAGUAUCCAAAUUGAAGGAUAUUCUGGAAACCACUGGCCUGAACUUUCUAAAAAAGUCCGUGCCAGUAAAAAACAACAAACAAAAAAGGCAGAACAAGUGUUCUAAAUUGAAGGAAAUUAAAGAGACUGGAUAGCUAAAUGCAGUAUGUGAUCCUUGUUAAAUCCUGGGUUUAUCUUUUACAAACAACAACAGAGAAGGAAAGAUUCUUGGGGGACAAGUGAGGAAAUUCGAAUAUGGACUAAUAAAAUUAUAGUGAGAUAACAAUGGUGGAUUCCGACUUCCUGCGUACGUCUGAAGACCCUGAUGACACAUUUCCUACGGACACUGCAGUCUGAGUCCUCCUCAACAGGCGCGAUUGCGGCCCGCCCUCCCCCACACACAGUUGGCAGCGUCUGGAAACAUUGUUGGUUGUCACAACUGGAGGAAGGGAGGGGUGGCACUGGCAUCUAGUGAGUGGAGGCCAGGGGCGCUGCUAAACAUUGUACGAUAAACGAGACAGCUCCCAUCACCCCACAACAAAGACUCAUCCUGCCCCAAACGUCCACAGUGCCGCGAUCGAGAAACCCAGAUGCAGGAGGCUUCCCUUUUCCUUAGCGGAUAUCGACUGAGAUGUGAGGCUGAAUUCAAUGAAACUGGUUUUUCGCAGGUCAAAUAUUGGUAAUAUUUCAGGCGGGAGGGUUAUCAUGUUCACAACUAACUCUCAAAUUGUUUAGCAGAAAACACUGCACAUACAUGGCCCUCCGCGCGGACUCCCCUCCUCCCCGGGGACCCGAAGGUAGCACCCCUCCCGGGGCGAAGAGCUGACAGGCGAGCCUGCGCGGUGGGAGGAUCCUGCGAGAGGCCACUGCGCAUGCGCCGGCGGCCUGCCGCACCCACGCGGCGCUUCUGCAAAAGUUACAGACCGCCGGGUGGCCGCGCGGUGCGGUCACGCGGAGCUGCCCACCCAGUAGAGAAGAAAACUCCCGUGGGGCAUCGGCUUCUUCGGGAAAGACAACGAUGCUUCCCCCGUUGAAGCCCGGAGUCCUCCUCCUAGGCCAUCCGCCAAGGGCUGCAGGGAGCGUGGCUCAUCCUUUCGGAGCCCCUCCCAGGAAGAGUCAGUUGUGUGUGGCCCGCGGUGCCCGGCCGUCCGUUCCAGGCUGGACUCUCCAAGGCCAUCAGGCUUCAGGAUGGAUGAUGAACUUUCAAAAAGGAAAAAGAUGGAAAAUCGUCGAAAUUACCAUAAACUGUGCUGCCAGCUGACUAGGUGUUUCUUUGUAGCACGUGCAGAGUCAAGGCAGAUUGUAUUCCUGCAUUAUAUAACCUACCAGCAACCUACUUACCUCCUGUCUUAAUCAAGGUUAUUCUUGAAAGCAGAGCCUGAGACAGAGGUAGCUGCAUGCUCUUUGGGAAUGUGAUCCUAAGGAGCACGAAUGAGAGAGGGGAGUGCAGGGAGCUGGGGGGGCAGAGAGUCAGGCAAGACAAGGUCGUGUUAUCACGUGGUCCGCUACUGUUGUGGUUACUUAGCGCAGAACCUCCUCAGGAUUCUUAUUAAACUUUAUCUCAGAACUGGCUGCCCGAGGGACGAACAGGGGAAGCAUUUCUCUGUACUGUGUGCUGAGGGCUGCUCCCAUGGGACGUUAAUUCCCCCAUCCCUAUGGGUUGCAAAUACAGGAGAGCCUCCUGGUACCAGAGCGUCACACAGUGCCGCAUCAGAGAAGCCUGGGGACAGGAAGCUCGGUUCUUGGUCCCUGAAGGGCAGCACUGUCUGCACAGAGCAGGGUGAAACCGGCCCAGAACUGUCCACUAGAGCUGUGGCUGGACUCGGAGGUUGAAGAGAUCUGCAGCGGGGCGCACGAGGCAGCUUAUAAGCCUCCGGAAUGUGCUAUCAGCCUUGUCUAGAUCUCUUUCCUCGCUUCCUCCUAUAAUCAAACUUUCAGGGUCCAGCACAAGAGUGGCAGAAGGGUUAGAUAGGGAAGUUAAAUGUGUUAGAAGAUGUACGUUACUAACAGUUGUGACCUUGAGCAAUGUUUGUAAGAAAUAGAAAGUGACACUAGAACUGGGAAAAUUAAAAAUGAUUCUACUUGAAACAUGGGACCUUUGGGUAGAGAUAGUAGAUAUCUUCUAAACUCAUGUAAUCUCAGAAGCAAUUAUGAAUUUUUGGAGAAAAAUGGAGAAAUAAAAUUAACCAUUUCUUAUA